rnacentral:rRNA from 1 species
UACGUAGGGGGCAAGCGUUAUCCGGAUUUACUGGGUGUAAAGGGAGCGUAGACGGCGGUGCAAGCCAGAUGUGAAAGCCCGGGGCUCAACCCCGGGACUGCAUUUGGAACUGUGCUGCUAGAGUGUCGGAGAGGCAGGCGGAAUUCCUAGUGUAGCGGUGAAAUGGGUAGAUAUUAGGAGGAACACCAGUGGCGAAGGCGGCCUGCUGGACGAUGACUGACGUUGAGGCUCGAAAGCGUGGGGAGCAAACAGG